rnacentral:rRNA from 1 species
UAGGGAAUCUUCGGCAAUGGACGAAAGUCUGACCGAGCAACGCCGCGGGAGUGAAGAAGGUUUUCGGAUCGUAAAACUCUGUUGUUAGAGAAGAACAAGGACGUUAGUAACGGUACGUCCCCUGACGGUAUCUAACCAGAAAGCCACGGCUAACUACGUGCCAGCAGCCGCGGUAAUACGUAGGUGGCAAGCGUUGUCCGGAUUUAUUGGGCGUAAAGCGAGCGCAGGCGGUUUCUUAAGUCUGAUGUGAAAGCCCCCGGCUCAACCGGGGAGGGUCAUUGGAAACUGGGAGACUUGAGUGCAGAAGAGGAGAGUGGAAUUCCAUGUGUAGCGGUGAAAUGCGUAGAUAUAUGGAGGAACACCAGUGGCGAAGGCGGCUCUCUGGUCUGUAACUGACGCUGAGGCUCGAAAGCGUGGGGAGCCAACAGG